UAAAAAGUGGUCUAGUGGUAAUGACGUUUGUCUUACAGUUUCCAAAAGGUCGCCGAUUAGAUCCCGGCCGGGCUCG